GGGUUUUAGGACUGUUGGUCAGGAGCGCUCUGCCUUCACACGGCAGGGGUCGCUGGUUCAAAUCCAGCCGCGCCCACCA
rnacentral:tRNA from 1 species